AGCAUGUGGUUAAUUCGACGCAACGCGAAGACCUUACAGGCUUGACAUCCCCUGACCGUCUAUGAAAGUUAGGCUUUCUACCUUCGGGUAGACAGGGAGACAGGUGGUGCAUGGUUGUCGUCAGCUCGUGUCGUGAGAUGUUGGGUUAAGUCCCGCAACGAGCGCAACCCUUACGGUUAGUUGCCAGCGGGUUAUGCCGGGCACUCUAGCUGAACUGCCGUUGACAAAACGGAGGAAGGUGGGGAUGACGUCAAAUCAUCAUGCCCUUUAUGUCCUGGGCUACACACGUGCUACAAUGGCCUGUACAGAGGGAAGCGAAAGGGUGACCUGGAGCGAAUCCCAAAAAGCAGGUCUCAGUUCGGAUUGCAGGCUGCAACCCGCCUGCAUGAAGUCGGAAUCGCUAGUAAUCGCAGGUCAGCAUACUGUGGUGAAUACGUUCCCGGGCCUU
rnacentral:rRNA from 1 species